rnacentral:rRNA from 1 species
UACAGAGGUCCCAAGCGUUGUUCGGAUUUACUGGGCGUAAAGGGCGCGUAGGCGGUCAGCACAAGUCAGUUGUGAAAUCUCCGGGCUUAACUCGGAAAGGUCAACUGAUACUGUGCGACUAGAGUGCGGAAGGGGCAACUGGAAUUCUCGGUGUAGCGGUGAAAUGCGUAGAUAUCGUCAAGAACACCGAUAGUGAAGACAGCUUACUAGGCUUAUACUGACGCUGAGGCACGAAAGUGUGGGGAUCAAACAGG